GUCAGGCAUGGUGGCACAUGCCUGUAAUCCCAGCAGCUCGGAGGCUGAGACAGGAGAAUCAUGAGUUCAAAGCCAGCCUCAGUAAAAAGCAAGGUGCUAAGCAACUCAGUGAUACCCUGUCUCUA
rnacentral:sRNA from 1 species